CCAUUCCGACCACGUCGGACAAGCCUCCACGGCACCGGACCCCGUCGGCACCGCACUCACAGCAAGUGCCUCGGCGCCGUUCAUCAUCCCCGGGACAUAAAAAAUCCCAUAAGACGGGGACUACCGUACGGAAGACGCCGGCUCCCCCGGUGCCGGGGGUAGAGCCGCGUCCGCAUGUGGAGCACCAAAAACAGGUGCCUCCAGCACCGUCGACUCCGGCUCCGAGGCCGUUGAGUCCGGUGCAGACAGGGUCACCACCGCGACCGGCGGUGAUACAGUGCCUCCCGUCGACCCCAGAGACCUUCGCGACGGCGAGAGACUUGAUCGCUCUCACGGAGCCGGCACCGCCCCAACCACCGGCACCGUCGGCACCGUUGACUCGUCCGGUCCAAUCCAGGGGGAAACCUGCCUUGAUGCGCCCUCCAUCGCAAGGGCUGGAACCGCGGCACCGGUCCAGGUCCCGAAGCAGGUCCCCACGCCGCUCGCAGUCCCGGCGCCGGAUAUCACCUCGGCACCGGUCGUACUCGCGGCUAAGAUCAUCGUCGCGGCACCGUUCUACGUCUCGGCACCGCUAUGAUCGUCGGCACCGAUCGACAUCGAGACGUAGUUCUCGGCACCGCUACGAUCGACGCUCGACGUCGAGAGGCCGCUCCCGGCACCGGGCCUACUCAAGAUCAUAUUCCAGGUCCAGGUCGGACUCUCGGCACCGACGUGGUCAUCGGCACCGAUCCCGAUCUCGGCACCAUUCGCCGGCACCGCACAGGGACCGUUCAUCUCUGGACCGGCACCGUACGGCACCGUACCUUCCGGAGCUCGUCUCGGCGCGGUCGGCACCGCCAUGGCCAUCCAGAUCAGCGUCCCGCUCCUCCGAUGGAGCAUCGAGAUCGGCAUACCCCCCUCAGGGACAGGCCGAUGAUCCGGACAUGGGCCACUGGCAGGAGGUAGCGGAGGAUCCCGCUCAAGGACCUUCACACUGGUCGUUUUGGACCCCGUGGGCGUACCACCAAGCGCAAGGGGCUCCACCACCAUCAGCCUCUCGCUCGGGGCACUCUGAGCGAAGGGCCCCAGAGUCCACCAUCUCUCGCCCUCCUCCAGGGGGCAUGGAGGCUUCCGUGCCCGCACCUGACGUCCUGGACCCAGGGGCAGGUGAUGCUCCGCUUCAAGGUUCAUUGGACCAGGCCCCGCCCUUGGAUCCCUUGCCACCUGAGGCAUCUUCCUCAUCUUCCCCAGAUGAGGCAGUGGCGGGCACAACAAGCACGGGUCCACCCCCGAUUGAUCUCCGGGCACACCAGGACCUAUUACGUAGGGUGGCACGUAAUAUGGACCUUCAGGCAGAGGAGAUAGUGGAGCUGCAAGACCCCAUUGUGAACAUCCUCUCUGCGGAUGCCCCAUCCAGAGUGGCGUUGCCCCUGAUCCGCACGAUCCAGGCUAACGCCACUACGAUAUGGCAAACUCCUGCCUCUAUCCCACCCACAGCGAGAGGGGUGGAAAGAAAGUACUUUGUCCCCUCAAAGGACUAUGAGUACUUGUAUCCCCACCCCCAGCCGUGUUCACUGGUGGUGUCAUCAGUGAAUGCAAGGGAGCGCCACGGUCAACAGGCCGCAGCGCCCAAAUCGAAGGAGGCUAAGCGCCUCGAUUUGUUUGGCCGUAAAGUUUAUUCAGCCGGAGGGCUGCAACUUAGAGCGGCUAACCAGCAGGCGCUCCUGAGCCGCUAUAACUUUAAUUCCUGGAACUCCAUGGGGAAGUUCAAGGAAUUNN
ensembl:lncRNA